UCCCCUCAUUCUGUUCCCUCAGGUUCUGAAUGAGGAGUACACGCUGAACGACAUCCUCCACGAUGUCACGAGAGAAGAUCUGAAGAGUUUGAGACUGAGAGGUGGGAUCCUGUGUAAACUAUGGAAGGCCAUCACAGACUACAGGCAGAAGCCGACCUGAGGCUUCAGAGACAACAACCACUCGGAGAAGCCUGGACCUCUGUCCCUGAAUCGCACGCUCAGUAUUCUCUUCUUUACCUCAGUAUUUAUAAGAGCGAGACGUUCAGGAGCACGGCCUGUGAUCGCCGUGUCUGCGGAAGAAUUCGACAAUUCUUCAACGCCGCUUUUUGUUACUCGUGCGUUAAAAGUGACGCUUCGUGGGGAAAGAUCCACCAUUAAAACCUUAAAACAACAUUUCCUCCUGUCUUUAAAAGGUUUACAGAACUGACCAACACAAGCCUGAGAUACAAAAUACUGCAUUCGAAACCAUCUGUACUCCUGUUUUUAUCAUCUUAUCACUACUUUAUUUAAGUUGAUAUUUUAUUUAAUUGUUAUGGUUAUUUGAAGGACGUCAGUGCAUGCCCUGUUUUUUUGUUUUUUACUGUUCAGAGACUUAUUUAAUUUGUUUUUUCACAUUUCUUUUUAUAUUACGAAUCUCCAUUUUUUUUUUUUUUUCAGAAACAUGUAAAUAUUGUGUUAUAAAAUUAUAUGUGAAUCACAUUUACGUACUUUAAAAAAAAGAUAUAUUGAUGAACCUAGCGUAGUUGAAUCUCCAUGUGGGACCUGACCGAGUCUGAGAUGAACAUGUGAAAUGUAAACAGGACAAUAUUGUAUUUUCUUGUAUCACAAAUCAUAGGAGACGAUGUUAAGUUAGUAAUUAAUGUUGCGUCACAUCAUUUGCUCUCUUUUUGUUGUUGUACACUGACAAACGUGCUCGUGUGAUAUACGAGAUUCAGUCACGUUUAUGUUGUGAUGAAAAUAUGAAAUGGAAGAACCUUGACUUUUUUUUAUUUUGAAACACGAUGUCAGAAAUGGGGAAAACUAAUCAUGAACUAAUUUUUCUCAUCGAAAAUGAAUCGAGAUUUUUGUGUCAUACUGUUGAAUAAAACUUUUCAUCCAGAAACUGUGAAA